ACAUGCCUACAACUUAGCUUUAAUGCAACAGAUCCCAUUAGAACUCCAUAGUUAAGCAUUCUAGGGAUAGAGUAGCAUUGGGAUGGGUGACCUCCCAUGAAGUCCUAGUGUUUUACAUGCC
rnacentral:rRNA from 1 species